rnacentral:tmRNA from 1 species
GGGGGCGACCUGGCUUCGACGUGGGUUGCGAAACUUGAAGUGCAUGCCGAGAAUGAGAACUCUCGUAAAUAAGGCUCAAAUAAACAUAAAUGCAAACGAUGAAAACUACGCGGGUGAAGCUAUUCAAGCGUAAGCUUAAAUAGUAACACUGCAACGUGUACUGCCAUAAAACCAGUGCCCCGUUGACCGAGCUCUCUUAUCGGUAUCGAAUCAACGGUCAUAGAGAUAAGAUCGCAGCUUGAUAGGUCUCGAAUCAAGUUGUUAAACUAAGAGAAUCGCCAUGUACCAUCCUGCCUAUCGGAGGGUUCACGGUUAAAUUAAAUGACAAGGCUACGCAUGUAGAGCUGACGGCAGAGGAUCUGCGGACGCGGGUUCAAUCCCCGCCGCCUCCACCA